ACAGGGUGUUGGCCAUAAUGAAGACAACAUCCUCGUUCCUGCUGCUACUAACAUUACAUAUGCUUUGGAUCAGAGCUAUAGUAUUAAACAUGUCAUAGUUGUACCCCAGUCUGUGCGGUGACGUUUCAAACAAACACACCUACAUUUCACUGCCUGACCUUACACAUAUCCAAGACCCAUGUGAUCUUUCCAGGUGAUAAUGUUGAUUGCUGCAGAAGUUCAAGCGGCGCUUCUUGCCAUGGUGUCGAGACAGCUAGUCAUGGGAGCUCAGAACAUAUUCUGCGGUGAUUCUCGGGUUGCUGUCACAUGGGCUGAAGAUCUUCAGCACAUCCAAUUGUGUAA